rnacentral:rRNA from 1 species
GAUGAACGCUGGCGGCGUGCCUAAUACAUGCAAGUCGAGCGAACGGACGAGAAGCUUGCUUCUCUGAUGUUAGCGGCGGACGGGUGAGUAACACGUGGAUAACCUACCUAUAAGACUGGGAUAACUUCGGGAAACCGGAGCUAAUACCGGAUGAUAUUUUGAACCGCAUGGUUCAAAAGUGAAAGACGGUCUUGCUGUCACUUAUAGAUGGAUCCGCGCUGCAUUAGCUAGUUGGUAAGGUAACGGCUUACCAAGGCAACGAUGCAUAGCCGACCUGAGAGGGUGAUCGGCCACACUGGAACUGAGACACGGUCAAGACUCCUACGGGAGGCAGCAGUAGGGAAUCUUCCGCAAUGGGCGAAAGCCUGACGGAGCAACGCCGCGUGAGUGAUGAAGGUCUUCGGAUCGUAAAACUCUGUUAUUGGGGAAGAACAUAUGUGUAAGUAACUGUGCACAUCUUGACGGUACCUAAUCAGAAAGCAACGGCUAACUACGUG